GUGGUGGGCUGUGUGGUCCUGGGAGCCGGGGAUCCCUCAUUGGCUCCUUUGAAGCCCCUUGCCCCAAGCAUUCUUGGAGUCGUGGCAUUCAACCUGGGGUAUUGGGCCGUACUGGAGUCUUCGUUGAGACGGAGCUCGGGGCCCCCAAGGCUGAUGCGCCUUUUCUAUUUCCAGCCUGAGUCCAGCUACUCCCUCCUCGCUGAAAAUUCCUAUGUUAAAAUGACCUGUGACAUCCGGGGCAGUCUGCAGGAGGACAGCCAGGUCACUGUGGCCAUCGUGCUGGAGAACAGGAGCAGCAGCAUCCUCAAGGGCAUGGAGCUCAGCGUGCUGGACUCACUCAAUGCCAGGAUGGCCCGGCCGCAGGGCUCCUCUGUCCACGAUGGCGUCCCCGUGCCUUUCCAGCUGCCCCCAGGCGUCUCCAACGAAGCCCAGUAUGUGUUCACCAUCCAGAGCAUCGUCAUGGCGCAGAAGCUCAAGGGGACCCUGUCCUUCAUUGCCAAGAAUGACGAGGGUGCGACCCACGAGAAGCUGGACUUCAGGCUGCACUUCAGCUGCAGCUCCUACUUGAUCACCACUCCCUGCUACAGUGACGCCUUUGCUAAGUUGCUGGAGUCUGGGGACUUGAGCAUGAGCUCAAUCAAAGUCGAUGGCAUUCGGAUGUCCUUCCAGAAUCUUCUGGCGAAGAUCUGUUUUCACCACCAUUUUUCUGUUGUGGAGCGAGUGGACUCCUGCGCCUCCAUGUACAGCCGCUCCAUCCAGGGCCACCAUGUCUGCCUCCUGGUGAAAAAGGGUGAGAACUCUGUCUCAGUCGACGGGAAGUGCAGUGACUCCACGCUACUGAGCAACUUGUUAGAAGAGAUGAAGGCGACGCUGGCCAAGUGUUGAGAGCUGCCUGCGAGCCCCGCACCACCCCGCGGAGCACGUACCCAGGGACCGCAGCCCUGACGUGUCUCGCCUCUCCUCGGUCGUGUGUACUGUACCCAAGCCUGAGUGUUAAUUUAACUCCAUGUUGUCCGCCGUGUAGACAUCCGAGGUCAUUUGUUGCGUUGAAUUAUCUGACCAUCCUUUUUUACUGUGACUCUUCCCAUUCUCUUUGGCAAGAAGUCCCCUUCUCGCCCCCAAACCAGCAAGGGACUCCCCCACCUGGGUCUGUGCCCUGCCCCGCGCUGGGGGCCGAGUCCUUGAAUGUGGCUUCAGGGGCUCCUGUCCUGGGCCAGGGCCUGAUGGGCACCACGUGAGGGGCACUUGGUGGACAGGGCGGGGCUGACGUGGCGUCCUCUGGGGUCGCCUGCUUUUGACCCAAAGGUCCUGACGGUUGCGUCCGGGGGAGGGGAAGGAAGGGCCGCUGUCGCCAAGGUUUUCUCUCCCAGAACCCACAGUGGGAAAGCGGUCUUGCCAGGCGUUGUCCAUCGUCAGUGUGCUCGUGGGCUGGUGGCU
rnacentral:sRNA from 1 species